CAGCACCUCAAGUGGUCAGGAUGAUUAUUGGGCCUAAAGCAUCCGUAGCCGGCGCUGUAAGUUUUCGGUUAAAUCUGUACGCUCAACGUACAGGCUGCCGGGGAUGCUGCAGCGCUAGGGAGUGGGAGAGGUAGACGGUACUCGGUAGGAAGGGGUAAAAUCCUUUGAUCUAUUGAUGACCACCUGUGGCGAAGGCGGUCUACCAGAACACGUCCGACGGUGAGGGAUGAAAGCUGGGGGAGCAAACCGGAUUAGAGACCCGAGUAGUC
rnacentral:rRNA from 1 species